rnacentral:rRNA from 1 species
UUUAUUUGAUUUCCUUCGGGACUGAUUAUUUUGUGACUGAGUGGCGGACGGGUGAGUAACGCGUGGGUAACCUGCCUUGUACAGGGGGAUAACAGUUGGAAACGGCUGCUAAUACCGCAUAAGCGCACGGUUCCGCAUGGAACAGUGUGAAAAACUCCGGUGGUGUGAGAUGGACCCGCGUCUGAUUAGCCAGUUGGUGGGGUAACGGCCUACCAAAGCGACGAUCAGUAGCCGACCUGAGAGGGUGACCGGCCACAUUGGGACUGAGAUACGGCCCAGACUCC